ACUCAAAUGAAUUGACGGGGACCUGCACAAGCGGUGGAGCAUGUGGUUUAAUUCGACGGUAAGCGAGGAACCUUACCAAGGCUUGACAUGUACCUGCAUACAUUAGAAAUAGUGUAGCCUUCGAGGGUGGUACACAGGUGCUGCACGGUUGUCGUCAGCUCGUGCCGUGAGGUGUUCACUUAAGUGUGAAAACGAGCGCAACCCCUAUUAUCAGUUACAAGUGUCUGAUGAAACUGCCCGCGUUUAAGCGGGAGGAAGGUGGGGAUGACGUCAAAUCAGCGUGGCUCUUACGCCUUGGGCGACACACGUGCUACAAUGGGAAGGAACAGAGGGACGCCAAGCCGCAAGGUGGAGCAAAUCCCAGCAAAACUUCCCCCAGUUCGGAUCGAGGGCUGCAACUCGCCCUCGUGAAGCCGGAAUCGCUAGUAACCGUGGAUCAGCCUCGCCACGGUGAAUACGUUCUCAGGUUUUGUACACACCGCCCGU
rnacentral:rRNA from 1 species